rnacentral:rRNA from 1 species
UGCUUUCUGUAAACAAAUAAAAAGUAAUUCCUGCCCAGUGACACGUUAAACGGCCGCAGUACCCUGACUGUGCAAAGGUAGCAUAAUCGUUUGCCUCUUAAUUGGAGGCUUGUAUGAACGGAUUCACGAGCGUCUAGCUAUAUUUACCUUUCAACGAAACCUAAUAUACCGGUGAAAAAGCCGGUAUUAAACUGAAAGACAAGAAGACCCUAUUGAGCUUUAACCAAACAACUAUUUUUUAUAGUUCAAAGUUUAGUUGGGGCAACUAAAAUUAAAUCAAAUCCUACGCCUUCUAAUAAUAGGCCCUAUGCCGCCCUCCUGAUCCUCAAGAUCAUCAGAAAUAGCUACCUUAGGGAUAACAGGCUAAUUUCUUUUAAGAGUACAAAUUAACAAAGAAGUUUGGCACCUCGAUGUUGGCUUAGGGUACCCUGUUUAGUGCAGCUGCUAACAAAGGUGGGCUUGUUCAUCCCUUAAUACCCUAC